rnacentral:rRNA from 1 species
CAAAUUUUAAAUCUACCUGGUUUCCAGGUCGAGUUGUAAUUUGAAGAAGUGUUUUUUACUUUCCGGGUUGGGUUAAAUCCUUUGGGAUAAGGUAUCAUGGAGGGUGAGAAUCCCGUGUAUACCAACCGCAGGAUYGUUUAAUAUACACUUUCUAAGAGUCUAGUUGUUUGGGAAUGCAGCUCUAAAUGGGUGGUAAAUUUCACCUAAUGCUAAAUAUAAGCGAGAGACCGAUAGCGAACAAGUACCGUGAGGGAAAGAUGAAAAGAACUUUGAAAAGAGAGUUAAAUAGUACGUGAAAUUGUUGAAAGGGAAACGGUURAAGUCAGUCAUGCCGGCGGGAAUCAACUUAGGGGAAACUCUGAGUGCACUUCUUCGCUUGGCAGGUUAGCGUCGAUUUUGGAUGUCAUAAAAUGACUGGGGGAAGGUAGCUCUUUCGGGAGUGUUAAGCCCUURGUAGAUGUGAUGUCYGGGAUCGAGGAUUGCAACGGAUACCUUUUGGGCUARCCGCCUAGUCUCUAAUACGAAGUUGGGUUAUGGACAGCACGCUGACUGUGAUCUGAUUUUCGGUUAAAAGAU